rnacentral:lncRNA from 1 species
CUAAUAUCCUGUUUCUGGCAAUUAAACUACUGUCGUGUUCUUCUACCUGCCUGCCAGACAUGCAGGCCCAAGGUACCAGGAGGCAGAUGCUGACAGAUGCAUCUCAGUAUGCCCGGCACCUCCACCACACAAGGGCUGUGCUGGUUGCUGUGGGAAUGCUGCAGGGCACAAAACGGAUAAUGCUGGAGGGAGAAGACAGCAAACACAAGGCUCAAGAAACUCCAGUAUGUAAGAAGAGGACAUGCACAAUGGAAGAGGGAAGCCACCAUGCAGAAUGUCGGGGUGCACUUUUAAAUGGGACAGUCAAGGUAAGCCUCACAGCAAAGGUGACCUCUGAGCAGAGGUCUGAGGGAGGUGAGGAAUGAGAAGAGUGAACAGCCAGUAUGAAGAUCCAAGGUGGGAGUGUGCCCCUGGUGUGUUCACGGAAAGCACCAAGGUAGGCGUGGCUGGCACAGAGUAAGAGAGGGAGGUCUUAGCAAGCGGGGAGGUUCAGGUAGUACAGGGCCUUGUGGCCUUGGCAAAGACUUUGCCUCUUGGAGGAUUAUAAGCAGGUGUGACUGGGUCUAGUGUUUGUG